UUAUGACUUGUGUACUGUGAGUUUAUCUGAGCUACCUAGAUGAAUAUAACUAGGCUUGGAAAUCCAUAUUUAUAACUAAUUUUGCUACUCCCUUGAACAUUCAUGUUUCCACUCAAGCACCAAGCCUUGCAUACAAUAUAUGGUACUCUAAUAUAGUAUUAGACAAAGAUGUUGAUGCUUCACCAACACAAUAUGUGCACCCCAAAUAUGUUUGAACAUGUGCCUGCUCCUAAUAUUACACAGACUCUAACCUGAACCAUUCAGACAAUUGACACAGAGCCAGUUUUGUUAAAAUGUACAUAGAAGCAUAUAAUCAAAAGUAUGAAAGCAUAUGCCAAUAUGUAAAAUAAAUAUUAUCAAGGCUAUGUUCUGAACAAAAGUGUCAAGGCUCAAACAAAUAUGUCCAUGAUAAACUCUAACAGAGUAACUAUACGCUAGCACACUAACAGGCCCAGGGCGCCUGUGCGGCACUGUUAUGUACUGCUAACCUGAGUUUAGUUGGGAAUAAUCAAAGCAUUAGUAGUACCUACUCCUACAUGGGAAUUCUUCCAAAAUCUUAUCGUAAUCGCAGCACUCUCGAUUCUCCAAUCUGCUCGUCGUAGCUACUUCCGCUGAUUAAUUUCUUUGCAAUUCCUCCAAAACUGAUCCAUCGUUGGCAAGGACUAGGUACACUCCACUUUCAAUCUUCCAUCUGUGUAUUGAGUAUUCUCUUCUGAUCUUCAUCUUCUCAUGUAAUACACUGUUGAACAGACUCGUGUUCUUCGUUUGAUCCCCUCUGUUGACAGCUUUCACACAUCGAUUGAAGUCAGCAAGUUGGAAGUGACACACUGCUUGGUAACCGAUAACCGAUUCACCAAGAGGAGCAGGCGAGCAGCAAGCCAGACGAGACAAGAUUUUCAUCUUUUUGACUCAAGAUUUAGUGGAUUAGCUCUGGUAGCAAUUGAAAAUGAUGUUUUGGAGAAGGUUUCUUAUAAAAACUACUUGAAGAUUGUAUCAAGAAAUGCUAGAAGCUAGGAUGGAGCGUUUCUAUUAAAGGAAAUACACAGGACAUCAGAUUUCCAAGAUUUGUUGGUGAUAAGAUGUAAUUCGUCAAACAAUCAUAUUACCAAAAGUUAUUUUCAUAUUUGGCUUUUGUAA